rnacentral:rRNA from 1 species
CGUAGACUAGGUGAAUCAUCGAAUCUUUGAACGCACCUUGCACGGAUUCUAAUCGGUCCGUAUGCCUGUUUGAGUGUCAUCUACCCACUCACCGCGCGUCUGCUUCUCUUUACGGAGAUAUAGCGCGCGCGCGGGGGAAGAUGCCGGUCGAUGACGAAAUCAUCAUCAUCGUCGGGUGAAACGCAUUGCUGCCGGCCUGCCGCACACCGAUCGAAGCAAGUUCCUGACGGAUCACUGUCUCGACCGGUGGCGUGGCGUGGCUGCACACACCGAUACACACACCAACUGUGGGGCGCGCGCAUCGCCGCCGCCGCCACAAUCGCUGACCUCAAAUCAGGCAAGACUACCCGCUGAACUUAAGCAUAUCAAUAAGCGGAGG